UACGUAGGGUGCAAGCGUUGUCCGGAAUUAUUGGGCGUAAAGAGCUCGUAGGCGGUCUGUCGCGUCGGCUGUGAAAACUCGGGGCUCAACUCCGAGCUUGCAGUCGAUACGGGCAGGCUAGAGUUCGGCAGGGGGAGACUGGAAUUCCUGGUGUAGCGGUGAAAUGCGCAGAUAUCAGGAGGAACACCGGUGGCGAAGGCGGUUCUCUGGGCCUGUACUGACGCUGAGGAGCGAAAGCGUGGGGGAGCGAACAGG
rnacentral:rRNA from 1 species